rnacentral:rRNA from 1 species
AGAGUUUGAUCCUGGCUCAGGACGAACGCUGGCGGCGUGCCUAAUACAUGCAAGUCGAGCGAGCUUGCCUAGAUGAUUUUAGUGCUUGCACUAAAUGAAACUAGAUACAAGCGAGCGGCGGACGGGUGAGUAACACGUGGGUAACCUGCCCAAGAGACUGGGAUAACACCUGGAAACAGAUGCUAAUACCGGAUAACAACACUAGACGCAUGUCUAGAGUUUGAAAGAUGGUUCUGCUAUCACUCUUGGAUGGACCUGCGGUGCAUUAGCUAGUUGGUAAGGUAACGGCUUACCAAGGCAAUGAUGCAUAGCCGAGUUGUGAGACUGAUCGGCCACAUUGGGACUGAGACACGGCCCAAACUCCUACGGGAGGCAGCAGUAGGGAAUCUUCCACAAUGGACGAAAGUCUGAUGGAGCAACGCCGCGUGAGUGAAGAAGGGUUUCGGCUCGUAAAGCUCUGUUGGUAGUGAAGAAAGAUAGAGGUAGUAACUGGCCUUUAUUUGACGGUAAUUACUUAGAAAGUCACGGCUAACUACGUGCCAGCAGCCGCGGUAAUACGUAGGUGGCAAGCGUUGUCCGGAUUUAUUGGGCGUAAAGCGAGUGCAGGCGGUUCAAUAAGUCUGAUGUGAAAGCCUUCGGCUCAACCGGAGAAUUGCAUCAGAAACUGUUGAACUUGAGUGCAGAAGAGGAGAGUGGAACUCCAUGUGUAGCGGUGGAAUGCGUAGAUAUAUGGAAGAACACCAGUGGCGAAGGCGGCUCUCUGGUCUGCAACUGACGCUGAGGCUCGAAAGCAUGGGUAGCGAACAGGAUUAGAUACCCUGGUAGUCCAUGCCGUAAACGAUGAGUGCUAAGUGUUGGGAGGUUUCCCCCUCCUCGUGCCUGCACCUAACCCCUUUAACCACUCCCCCUGGGGGGAGUCCAACCCCCAAGGGUUGAAACCUCCAAGGAAUUUGCCGGGGGCCCCCAACAACCGGUGGA